GCUGAGUUGUGGCACUGGCAGUUGGCUGAAGUGUGCUGAUUUUCAGGCCAGAACAUGAGUCACAAAUAUUGUGACUACCCUUAGCACACUCAAGGAACCGAUUGCAGAAUUCGCACGUGGCGUGCUGAGAACUUGAGUUCCCAAUAGUGAGACUGGGGUGUAAAUUUAGGGGCUGUGAAAGGAACUGGUACUGUUCCUUCUUUUUGCCAAGGGGAACGUGCUUGUGACUGCUGAGUAGCACGGUGUUCUCUGGAGUUCCAUGGCACAGCCAAGUCAUGUCCAAGGCAUUUUCUCCCCCUCCUGCUUAUUUUUAAGGAGAGGGUCUUCUGCCUUUAUUGUGAUUGUUUUCCUGCAGUUUGAUGGUCUCUGCAGAAUCUGGGUUUGGUCCUAUCCAAAUUGUAACCUUUUCUUCCUUCUUCCAGCAAUGUUUUGAAGUUACAGAUGGGUGGAAGAAUGACCUUGCAAUCCUGGGUUAAAGAAACAUCAUGUGGGGAUGGACCUUUAGCCAAACCCAUGGAGAAAACAAGUUUGUGCUCUUGCAAUUCCAGUAACGGUUCCUCAUUCCAGCCCAUCAAAACCCAAGUAACCAUCCCCACAGCCCAUGUUAUGCCUUCUACGUUGGGUGCUUCGCCCUCGAAGCUGCGCUCUGCGGGAGACCAGGGCUGUUCGCAGAGUGCUUCAAAAACUGCUAUGCUGGGAUCUGCUUCUGAACACCCAGGGCUCAUGAGAAACGGAGACUUUAAUGCCGGGAAGCCAUCUCAGGUGCCACCCAGGGAUCUCUUGCGUCUCUAUGGGACAUCGGGGGAAAACGGUUUUGAGCAAAACUGGCAUCCUGUUUCUGAUCACAUGAGAACAGAAGAUACUUGGAAGUUUGACACCCCUGCCAUUGAGCACACCCUUAAUCAGUCUCUCUUUCCGGAUAGUUUGUGCACUGACCCGCUUCACAGGUUCCAGAAGUUCAAUCCAAACUCUGGGGCAGCUGAGGCAGGAAAGGACCAUUAUAAGGUGCUGCCAGAGAGUAAGCAAGUGGCAGGGGCCAAUGGAGCCUCCGAGUCCCAGGACGGAACAUGGCUGAGCGGGAGCAGACCAAUGCCAACGGGACUCCAGGCUAACAGUUUAUUUUCAAACUCUGUACCUCCUUCCUCUCGUUCGUGGAUGCCAGAAACCUGCACGCUCCAUCCGCACGAGAGGGUCUGCGAGCUCAGUGCUUGGAAACAACAGCUGGACAAAGUGCUAUUGCAAAUAGAGCAAAUGCAGUUACAAAAUGGAGGCGCCUGCCACCAUCCCUCGAUGUAUUCUCCUUCGCUGCCUACGCCUGAUCCAGCCCAGUGGAUCAAUAUCCUGAACUCCAAUGAAAACCUACUCAAGGAGAAAGAGCUUCUCAUUGACAGACAAAGACAACACAUAUCCCAGUUGGAGCAGAAGGUCCGCGAAAGUGAACUGCAGGUUCACAAUGCCCUGCUUGGCUGUCCAGCAUCCUACGGAGAUGUCUACAUGUUGAGACUGCAGGAGCUGCAGCGGGAGAACACGUUUCUUCGAGCGCAGUUCGCAGAGAAGACUGAAUCCCUCAGUAAGGAAAAGAUUGAAUUGGAGAGAAAACUGGCUGCUGCAGAGGUGGAUGCAAAGCUGAUCCGGGAGUCACUGAAGGAAGCUAUGCAGAAACAUGCUGAGGAGUUAAAGAAACAGGAAGAAAGGGUAAAGGGAAGAGACAAACACAUCAAUAACCUUAAAAAGAAAUGCCAGAAGGAAUCUGAACAAAACAGAGAGAGACAACAGAGAAUCGAGACCCUGGAACGAUACCUCGCUGAUCUUCCAACCCUUGAGGACCACCAGAAACAGAGUCAGAAGCUGAAGGAAUCUGAACUGAAGAGAACUGCUAUGCAGGAAACAGUGCUGGCACUGGAAACAGAGCUUGGAGGUGUCCGGGCUGCUUUCAGGGAGCAAGAGAUGCAGCUAGAAACCCAAAAACACAAGGAGCUGGAGCUUCUUUCCACUGUGCGCAGCUUGCAGGACAAAGUGCAGCAGUGUGUAAAGAAUGCAGAGAGAGGACCCCUUGCCCAGGAUGCAGAGAGACAGAAAAUAGAAAAUGACUCUCUGAAGAAAGAAUGCGACUGCCUCAGGAAGAUUGCGGACAAACAGCAGAAGAAGAUGGAGCAGCUCUCCUUGCAAGUAAAGACCUUAGAAGAGCAAGUGGCCCAGGAAGAGGGGACAAGCCAAGCUCUGAAAGAGGAGGCGAUAAGAAGAGAAAAUGUGCUGCAGCAGCUCCGGACCGCUGUGAAAGAGCUUUCACUGCAGAACCAGGAUCUCAUUGAGAAGAACCUAACCCUUCAGGAACGACUCCGGCAGGCAGAGCUAACAACCCAGCCACUGCCUGCAGAGACAACCCGCCUCACCCAGGAGCUGCACAGCGAGCUGGCCACUUGUCUGCAGGAUCUGCAGUCUGUCUACAGCAUUGUCACUCAGAGAGCUCAGGGCAAGGAUCCCAACCUUUCUCUGCUUCUGGGCAUUCGCUCUGUGCAGCACUCUGCGAAGGAGAGGGAUGACUUGCUGAGCCCCGAUGGACUGACAAAGAAACUGGUGGAGGUAAAACAGCUUCACAAAGAGGUGGAGGACUUGAGGACGGCAAUAUCUGACAGAUACGCUCAGGACAUGGGAGAAAACUGCAUCACCCAGUAAAGAACACUUGCCAAAGGGUGAGGUGAAGAAUUAUGAUGAUCAAAGCGGCAACUUGAAAAACACCAUGCAGCCAGGGGACUGCCAUGAUCUCAAAUCAAAGGUGCAGAUAGCUUAGGGGAACUAAAGCAAGUAUCUCACCUCCAUCUCCCAGAUCUGGGUCUGCAGCUGAAAGCACCUAAAUUCCAGUUCCUCUGCUGUGGAUGAGUUGGGAUCAUCUGAAAGGGAAGAUUUGGUUUUUCUCUGUAAAGCCUUAAGGAAAAGCUACAGAUAAGCUGUGUCAGAGCGCAGGUGCCCCAGCAGUACCUGCCUGCACCAUAAGCAAACUCAAGCCCUUAUGACACAGGAGCCAAACACGAGCUCUGUGUGCUGGUCCCUUACAAUUCAACCUGCAGCACUUUGCGAAAGAUGCUGACAGACUAAAAAAUAGUUGUGAAUGACACUGGUGACGUUCUGUGCUGCGGGAAGCUGCUGUGAGCGGUGCUGUUUGCAAUUAUGCAAUGAGAAUUGCUUGGCUUACUCAGUCUUAAGGGGCUAAUUUAAAAAAUGAGCAGGUAUGCACUAAAGCUGGAUCCAGAAACCUAGGCUGAAUGUCUAGGACAAUGCAUGAUGAGGCACAGUACACAUUUGUGGUUUGACAGGCAUGUUCUUGUUCUUUGCUCAGGAAAUGGAGAACUUGCCACAGCUUUAUGCUAACAGAGUAGUUUGGACAUUGUAGGAAAUGCACGUGGGCUCAGCUGGAGAACUGCUGGAUUCCAAGGAACUGAAUGCAGGGGAAGACCUUCAGUGACUCACUGAAAGCUGGCUUCAAUUUAAAGUUAGGCUGCCUUAUGUGAGACUCCAAGCUGAUUUUUGGUUUCACUUAGCUGCAAGCAGCCCUGUUUUUCCAGCCUGUUUGAACUUGGCAGUAUUUAUCAUUUUCUUUUUUUUUUUCUGACUGUCCUUAGGUAUCUGUGUGAUUGGUAUGUGCUCAUGGAAGCUUAGUAACCCACAGAAAAUAGGUCAGGAAAUGAUGUUUUGCACUGCACCAGCAAAGCCGCAGAUGUAACAGAUGCAAGUAUUAAGUGCAGAUCUGCUUUGCAAACAGUACCACGUGUGUGUAACUGACACCACUCAAAGCUGGCUCGCAGAGGAGGUCUCCAAGCCUGCUCUUGCAGGCUCCGUUGCUCUCCCACAGGUAGAAGUAAGGGUAGAACAAUUUUUACCUUCUGCUUUCUGAAGAGUCUUCAUCUUCUCUUCAAGUUCAGCAAUCCUCCUGUCCUUCAGGACCAGAACAAAGAAUGACCUUGUUUAGUUCCUCCUUGGCCUUCAGGACCUUGAGGCAGUAUUUGCAUUAUUAGUCCUGGCUGGGUGAGUCAGCGGUGCAUGUACUCUUAUCCCUCUCAGAGAGGCAAAAUAAGGUUCAGAAACCCUGUAUCAUUUCAUAACUAUCUUAAUUAGACUCAAAUGAGAGGUGGGUUAUAAAUACACUGCUCCAAGAAUAGGUGGGGGAAAGGCUGACCUAUCACUCCCUCCUACAUCUGCCUAAGAGCUGUAGGCAAACACACAGACUCCUGCCCCUGCGCUUCCUGCUCAGGCACAGCUCGUGCCCUGACCUGCAGUAAGUAGCUGACGUAAAAACAAAACCAGCAUCUCUGCAACCACCUCUUUGCGGGGGAAAAAAAAGGGGAUUUUAUUCUAAGCUGCAGUAAGGCAAAGAGGUCGACUCUAGGAUGACUCUGCUGAUGUUUCAGAAAGCAAAAGGAAGAAAAAAAGGUCUGAAGCCAAACAGGUGAUGAUACCAGUGAAAGAGGGCUGACAGUCUUUAAGAAGUCACAGCAGGGACUGUCCUUCUCCCACCCCAAAGAUUGAUAUGAUUGUUCUGUUACUUUGCAAAGGUUCAUUUGUGUAAUUAACAGAGCAGGCUACAGUUUAAAUUGUUUUAGCCCAAACUAGGUCUGAGCAGAUGUAAUGCAACUGUGGCUUCAACCGUCAAAGCAGAGAACAGAACGGAUUCAGGAAGGGGCAGGAUUUUUACCUUCAGUUGGAUUUCUUGGGCUUGUUUCUCUAUUUUUUGUUCUAACAGAAUGAUUUUUUGCAUGAGCUCCAUGUCAGCGUGAGCUGCACCUGAAAGAACAAAUACAACGUGUUACCUCUCUAAAACGGUGAUCAAUAUCAGAAGCUGAUCUGCACCAUAGGAGACUCCACACCAAAAUUCCUGUUCUGCCACAGCAGGGAGGACAAGGGCACCGUUUAGGGGCAUGGGGUAGAAAUCUCUUGGCUCUUCAUGGUAGGGAGAUGGCUGUGUCACUGACAGCACGCUGGGUAUGUGACAAGGGACCACAGGAAUCCGCCCUGACCUGGGAUAUUGAGUCCACCAGAACUGUCACAGAGAAACUGUGAUGGCCCAGAAUCCCCUGAUGAUUGAAGGACUUCACCCUGCAUAAUGUUGUCAGCGUUGUCCCUCAUGAGCAGGUGAGGAGACUGCCUUGCACUGGAUUCUUUGUCCUAGGAGACAGUCUGUCAUCUGCGAAGACACACAAAGAGCAUGAAAGAAAGAAAACAGGUCAGUGUUUCGCAUACGACUUCUCCAAAAGCCAGUAAAGAAAAAGGUUACGCUGAGGGAAAGAGAGGGCAGGAAAAAGCAGGGUGGCCCAGGCCAUUCGCUCCCUCAAGCACUCUCAGACUAAUGAGUGUCUGUGGGUGCUCGUUAUAAGCCAGGACCCAAGGGAAGGUGCAAUCUCAGCAGCAGGGAGGAGCGAACACAAAAUGGGGCAGAAAAAGACCAUGCUACUCAUACAGAGCAUCCUGCACUGCACAGUGAGGCAGAAAGUAGUGAUAUUGAGCUAUUUUAACAACAAGCACAAUACUCUGGCAUUAAUAGAAGCAGCAAACUUCAUUAGGAGUGGAAAGGAAGGCUUUACUCUAAGAUCUAGGAGGAAGGAUGUGACCUAAAAUGGAACUGUAAAAAUAGAUGAGACUCUAAUGUGCUCUAGGGCUUGUUGAGGAUGUGGAAACCUUUUGUUACUUAUCUGAUCUUGGACACACGUAGGAGAAAGAGAGCUACAAUUAUUGCAAAACAUUUCAGAUAGUAAGAAAAGCCAACAACUUGGACAGCUCUGCCCUUUUAGUAAAAAUAAGAGGGGAUAACAUGUAAAAAUAAAGCAUGAUUUCAUUAACUUUGGGAGGAUUUUCUUGGUGGGCGUAUUUUUUAUUGUGUAAUUGAGAAGGCUGCCUAAAAAAGUCCGAAGUACACAUUUUUCUCAUCAGCCCAUCCUCCCAGUCCACACAUCCUGUAUGUUUGGACAGGGUGAGUGUUCAUGGAGCUACAUGGGCCGCAAACCAUGGUAGCUGCCUAAGAGAAACCUGGGUGAGCGAGGUGCAGAGGUGCCCGCUGGCAGAAGCAGGUGGAAGAGCUAACACUUGCCAUGCCAUUGCAGCUGCAGAAAGCAACUCUUCUCUGCUCGAGACGGAGAAAAUGCAAACGUGGACCUGUGUGAGACCUGACUGACCAGCAUUCCUGGUACUCACUGGGGAGCAAUGCCAGCCACGAGGCAGCAGCGAUGCUCUCCCUCACCCGGGAACUACAACAGACUUGAAUCGCCUCGCUGAUGCUCCAAACCCUACCCAGAGCUUGCCACCACCCAGAGAGCCAUCCCUGCACAUCCCCAUCCUGCCAUGCUGCUCUCCUCUCCGGAGAGUUCAGCCUCACCAGCUGGAGAGGAGCAGGACAGUGUGAUUUUUUGCACCUUUUAUGGGAUGAGACUUUCAUUUUGACGCUUCCACGAAGCAGAAAAAUUAACUAUAUUGUGUGAAGCUUUGCUGUAGAGGAGCCUUCAGCUCUGGGCAGAGACUGGCAACGGUUCACUGAGCUGUGAUGCACUUCACUGACACGAAACCAGACACUAGGUGAACGUGCUCAGCACAUUUCAGCAGCUUUACUUAUUUCAAACACUCUCAAAAUAACCAAAUCCCUUUUGUUUCCGGCUGCUGCAGCUGAGUGGGUGAGGGUGCUCAGAGAUCUGCUGUGAGGAGAUGGAUACUGAGAGGCUGGAAGGAAGCGUUUCCCUGGUCCGUUACCUGGAUUAGACUAUUCCAGGCAUGUAACUGAAAUCCAGAGGGAUGACUCGGACCCAGCUUCUGCCGAGUUGCAGGCAAGAAGGUCUGUGACGUGGUUCAAGGCAGAACCCUCAUUGAAACAACAUUGGCCACGAUUUGCAAACCCUAUCCAGUCAACCAGGGUGAGUUUUAACCCAUAAUGACUAUUCAUCCUUCGUGGUGUGAGACACAGGACAGGCAUCCCCCGGUGAGAAGCAGAUCUCAGCCUGGGGGGGUUUCAUGCUGGAGGUGGUGGCCAGCAUGUCACGCUUGGAGCUGCCUGGCAGCCGUGCCAGGGAACAUCUCAUGCUGAGUGAUGUACAUCAAUGGCUCCAGAGAAGUGGGGCCGGAAGGGCUGGGUGGUGUUGUUCCCGUCUGGAGAUCCCCUAUGCCACAUCUUGCACUUUCUCCCUCACAGCAUCAGCAACAGUUGUGACUUCCCCAAACUGUCAGGGGUUCAAACAGCCCUCUGGGGAGGCGGGGACAGUGCAGGAAAGGAAGGUGUGAUUGGUGAGAUCGGGGCACCGCUGUGCUUAAAGUCUCUAACUGAAGUCGCUGUGGGCAGAUGAGGAAGGGUCACGGUACAGGGUGAGCUGAGGCCGGACCAUGCAGCCCCUUCUGCGCACCCACCUGCUCCUCCUGCUUGCCCUGCUUGUCCUCUGCAUGCCCUUGGGCCAGGCGGAGGUGGGCUCAACCACCCAACCCACCACUGUACACCCUGCUGUAGUCAGCCUGAGCCCCCCCUGUAGCAGCCCACUCCUCUUCUCCCUUGCCCUGGGCCUGGCUGUGGCUUUCUUCCUGCAGCUGCGCUGACCCUGGACGAACAAGAUGAUGUACCCUACCCCAGCAUCUCUUCAGACCUUCGAACCACAGAGCAUGCUGCCAUCCCUGCCUCCCUCUGCUCCAAGUUCCUGCUUCCCUCGCCCUUCUGCCUCUACCCUUGUCUCAAAGCAAGGCCCUGGGAGUGGGUCCGCUGCGAGGCUCUGAGUAAUAAAGUGCUGGUGUAGAGA